AAAUGAUGACAAUGCGCAUUUGUCGGAAGGCUUACUUCUGAUGAUUCCUCUGUCCAUUCCCCUGACCC
rnacentral:snoRNA from 12 species